rnacentral:rRNA from 1 species
UACGGAGGGAGCUAGCGUUAUUCGGAAUUACUGGGCGUAAAGCGCACGUAGGCGGAUAUUUAAGUCAGGGGUGAAAUCCCAGAGCUCAACUCUGGAACUGCCUUUGAUACUGGGUAUCUUGAGUAUGGAAGAGGUAAGUGGAAUUGCGAGUGUAGAGGUGAAAUUCGUAGAUGUUCGCAGGAACACCAGUGGCGAAGGCGGCUUACUGGUCCAUAACUGACGCUGAGGUGCGAAAGCGUGGGGAGCAAACAGG